rnacentral:rRNA from 1 species
CAGUCGCCGCGGUAAUGCGUAGGUGGCAAGCGUUGUCCGGAAUUAUUGGGCGUAAAGCGCGCGCAGGCGGAUAGGUCAGUCUGUCUUAAAAGUUCGGGGCUUAACCCCGUGAUGGGAUGGAAACUGCCAAUCUAGAGUAUCGGAGAGGAAAGUGGAAUUCCUAGUGUAGCGGUGAAAUGCGUAGAUAUUAGGAAGAACACCAGUGGCGAAGGCGACUUUCUGGACGAAAACUGACGCUGAGGCGCGAAAGCCAGGGGAGCGAACGAGAUUAGAUACCCGGGUAGUCCCUGUCUCUUAUACA